rnacentral:rRNA from 1 species
GAUGAACGCUGGCGGCGUGCCUAAUACAUGCAAGUCGAGCGAACAGACGAGGAGCUUGCUCCUCUGACGUUAGCGGCGGACGGGUGAGUAACACGUGGAUAACCUACCUAUAAGACUGGGAUAACUUCGGGAAACCGGAGCUAAUACCGGAUAAUAUAUUGAACCGCAUGGUUCAAUAGUGAAAGACGGUUUUGCUGUCACUUAUAGAUGGAUCCGCGCCGCAUUAGCUAGUUGGUAAGGUAACGGCUUACCAAGGCGACGAUGCGUAGCCGACCUGAGAGGGUGAUCGGCCACACGGGAACUGAGACACGGUCAAGACUCCUACGGGAGGCAGCAGUAGGGAAUCUUCCGCAAUGGGCGAAAGCCUGACGGAGCAACGCCGCGUGAGUGAUGAAGGUCUUCGGAUCGUAAAACUCUGUUAUUAGGGAAGAACAAAUGUGUAAGUAACUAUGCACGUCUUGACGGUACCUAAUCAGAAAGCCACGGCUAACUACGUG